UACGUAGGGUGCAAGCGUUGUCCGGAAUUAUUGGGCGUAAAGCGCACGUAGGCGGCAUUGCAAGUCGGAUGUGAAAUCCCUCGGCUUAACCAAGGAAGUGCAUCCGAAACUGCAGUGCUUGAGUACUUAAGAGGAUCGCGGAAUUCCCGGUGUAGAGGUGAAAUUCGUAGAUAUCAGGAGGAACACCAGUGGCGAAGGCGGCGAUCUGGGAAGAUACUGACGCUGAGGUGCGAAAGCGUGGGGAGCAAACAGG
rnacentral:rRNA from 1 species